CUGGCCAACUUCCCCGACUCAACAGUUGCAUAUUCGGGAUUGAAGAAGUACCAGAUGCUGCACUAUGAGAAGGGAUCCGCCUUGGAUCCUGUAACAAAUCCGGGUUGUUACUCUGGCGAUGAAAUAGGAGCCAAAGUAAGGGAAGAUCCCGACAUCUAAGGGGCAUUCGGUAUAUCAGGAAGAGAAGAAGCUGAUGGACUAUAUCGUACUGUUCCCAUAGGAUGAUCGAAUUUACAUGUGCCACCAAAUUUGCAGAAUCCUCUUUGCAUGUAAAAGGAACAAGACUGCACCCCCGGACGCAAAGGAAG
rnacentral:misc_RNA from 1 species